rnacentral:piRNA from 1 species
AGACAUGCUGAGUUCAAUCAUCAAAGGUACC